AUUGAACGCUGGCGGCAGGCCUAACACAUGCAAGUCGAACGAGUGGCGGACGUGUGAGUAAUGUCUGGGAAACUGCCUGAUGGAGGGGGAUAACUUCUGGAAACGUUAGCUAAUACCGCAUACCCUCAGAUGUGCCCAGAUGUGAUUAGCUUGUUGGUGGGGUAACGGUUCACAAAGGCGACGAUCCUUAGCUGGUCUGAGAGGAUGACCAGCCACACUGGACCUGAGACACGGUCCAGACUCCUACGGGAGGCAGCAGUGGGGAAUAUUGCACAAUGGGCGAAAGCCUGACGCAGCCAGGCCGCGGGGAUGAAGAAGGCCUUCGGGUUGUAAAGUACUUUCAGCGGGGAGGCGUUACCCGAAGAAGAAGCACCGGCUAACUCCGUGCCAGCAGCCGCGGUAAUAC
rnacentral:rRNA from 1 species